ensembl:ncRNA H03A11.4 ncRNA
UCCUCCUCCAUCCACUCCUAAACUGACAGACCCGCACACCUUGUAUAUUGUAAAAACGACAAAACAUUGGAGAGGCGAAGAGGCUGUAAACAUCGGCGAAUGAUGUGGAGGGAAGGGCCUGGGAACGUCAAAGGUGUGUG